rnacentral:rRNA from 1 species
UUUUAACGAGAGUUUGAUCCUGGCUCAGGAUGAACGCUGGCGGCGUGCUUAAUACAUGCAAGUCGAACGAAGCACCUUGGACAGAAUCCUUCGGGAGGAAGACCAUUGUGACUGAGUGGCGGACGGGUGAGUAACGCGUGGGUAACCUGCCUUGUACAGGGGGAUAACAGUUGGAAACGACUGCUAAUACCGCAUAAGCGCACAG